GGCUCUAUAGUGUAGUGGUCAUCACAUCUGCUUUAUAUGUAGAAGGUCCUGGGUUCAAUCCCCUGUGAGACCA
rnacentral:tRNA from 1 species